UUAAAAAGCAGCUACUAGUUUUAAAUAUUUUACAUUGGAUUGCAUUUUUGUGUAUUGUAUACAAAUUUUGUACAUAUAUAGAUACAAAUUUGAGAUUAUUUUUGUUUGAACAUACUGUGCAUAUGUUUCUAAUCUUGUUCAAGGUAUUGUACCUAUACAACUCAUUUAACAAUGUAAUGCAACUUUCUAGUCCCUGAAAGUUAUUAUUGCCAACUAAUAUAUAAAGAAAUGCAAGUUAAUAGUUAGUCAUUACAAUCAAACUUGUAGUCAUGUUACUCAAGUUUUCAAGGUCAAACAGAGAUAUAUUUUAGAUAGACAGGCCAUCUUCAAACACUUCAGAGAACUACAGAACAUGACAAUUAAGAUGUUUUAGUAACAGAUCCUUUUUUUUUUUUUUAAUGACAAUGUGACAUGUCUCCUCCUGGCAGCACCAAUCUACUUCAGAAAAGAUGAUGGGCAUUGAAGAAACUCUUUAUGGAGUUUACUUUCUUUGUGGCAAGUUAGCCACUGGUCAAGAAAGUACCCUUCCCUCAACUGCUGACAGUAUGUUGUCCAAAUGGACAAGCAGGACACAAAAGAAAGGAUUGCUGAUCCUUGCCAAGACAAGACUCUAGAAGUUUGAACCAACACUAGCUACUGAGUCGUGUUGAACCAGACUUCCUUCUUGCCUCACUUGGAUUGACACUCUGAUGGUCCUGGGGGUCACAGAGACCCCCACACAUCUACAAUGCAACCCUCAACACCUAGAACUUGGGAAACAUGGGAAGAAGGAACAGGAGGAUUGUAAGAGAUGCUUCAUCCAUGAACUCUCAACAAUAUGGUCAUCUCAGCAAAGCCUGCAUAAUAACACCAGACAUGCCAACCUGGAUAGCGGAUGUUAGCAUUCAGACCCCCCCUCCCCUUCCUUCCUCUUCCUUGCCAUGAGGUUGUGUACACCUCCUCUCUCCCUCUCCCCUCUCUCCCUCCCUCCCUCCCUUCCCUUCUCCCUUCUCCCUUUGAUAAUAAAACUUUUCACACGA